rnacentral:rRNA from 1 species
UACGGAGGGGGCUAGCGUUGUUCGGAAUUACUGGGCGUAAAGCGUACGUAGGCGGCUUUGUAAGUUAGAGGUGAAAGCCCGGGGCUCAACUCCGGAAUUGCCUUUAAGACUGCAUCGCUUGAAUCAUGGAGAGGUGAGUGGAAUUCCGAGUUUAGAGGUGAAAUUCGUAGAUAUUCGGAAGAACACCAGUGGCGAAGGCGACUCACUGGACAUGUAUUGACGCUGAGGUACGAAAGCGUGGGGAGCAAACAGG